rnacentral:rRNA from 1 species
GACCCAAUAGUAGUGGCGAACGAAAUUGGAAUCACAAUGAUAAUAGUUGAUUAAUUAAAAUCUUAGUGAUAUUGAACAUGACUGAUAAAAGUAAUACUGUGAAGGAAAUUUACUACGAUAAUAACAAUUUCUCAAAUAAUCUGUUGUAAUUCAACGUACCUUUUGUAUAAUGGGCUUACUAGAACUAAUUUGGUUAGUUUCAGAGCAAAUUUAAAUAAUAAAAUAACCAAUUAUUCCCGAAACUAAGUGAUUUAUUCUAGAACAACAAUUAGUGUGAACCAAUAACUGUUGCAAAAGUUUUGGACGAUUUUAGAAUAGAGGUGAAAUACCAACCGAACUUAGAAAUAGCUGGUUUUCUACGAAAUUCUUAUAAGAGAAAAUUUUGAAAUUUAUAUAUUUUUAAUUAAUAAUGAUAUAUAAAUAAACACAUUUUAACAGACUAUUAAUGACAAGAUUUAUGGUCAAAAGAGAAACAACUCACAUCAAAAGUUAAAGACACCAAUAAUUUAAGUGCAUCACACUAAAAAGUAAAAAUAUAAAAUGAGUAGGCCCGGAGGCAGCCACCUUUUAAUCAACGCGUAAUAGCAGGCUUUAAGAAUAUAUUUACUAAAAAUUCAGAUGACUAAACUAAACUGAAACUUUGAACAAGGUAGUAGAACAGACUAUAAUAAUAGUGGAGAUAAUGUAAGCAUGAAUAAUAAAAUUUUUCAAGGUUUUAGAAUUUAUACGACCCCUAAAAAAUAUAGGUUAAUAAGUCAAACUUUCAGUCAAGAAAACGACAAAAUAUAUAAAUCGUACCAUCAAACCAUGAGAAAAUAAAGCAAGAAUCAACUCUCCUUAAGGAACUCGGCAAAGAUGGUUAAUAUCCAUUAAAGAGAUCGACUGUUUACCAAAAACAUAGCCUCAUUUGAUAGAUAUGAGGUGAAACCUGCUCAAUGGUUGCUAAUAAUAACAUAAAAACAAUUAAAUAGCCGCGGUAACUCUGACCGUGAUAAAGUAGCAUAAUCACUCGUCAUUUAAUUGGUGACUGGAAUGAACGGUUAAACGAAUCUCUAACUGUCUCGAGGAGAGAGUUCAAUUAAUUUGAAGAAACAGUGAAGAUGCUGUUAGAUAAUUGUAAGACGAAAAGACCCUUUCGAGCUUUACUAUAAACUUAUAUUUUCGGUAAAUAAUAAUAAUCUAUUUACAUAAUUUUUGUAAGUUUGUUAGUUUGGUUGGGGCGACCACCUCUAAAAUAGUAUCAGAGGAAAUCUAAAGGUUUCUAUAGUAAUAUGAUUUGCCUUACUGUAUACAAACAAGUUAAUCAGUUACAUUUAUGUAGGAUAUAAUGACCCGUUAAUUAAAUUUUAAAACUUAACGACCAUGAAAAAAGUUACCGUAGGGAUAACAGGGUAAUAUUUUCGAAGAGUUCAUAUCGAUGAAAAUGUUUGCCACCUCGAUGUUGAAUUGUGAUAUCCUAAAGGUGUAGCAGCUUUUGAGGGUUGGUCUGUUCGACCAUUAAAAUCAUACAUGAUUUGAGUUCAUUCCGUCGUAAGACAGGAAGGUUUCUAUCUACAAUUAAGAACUUUUAUUAAACUUUAGUACGAAAGGAAUUAGUUAUAAUAUUAAAACAAUACAUAAAACCAAUCUGAUUUCAUAUAAGAUUACUAAUAAAGUUCAACAAUUAUAUACAACAUGAA